rnacentral:tRNA from 1 species
AGUGCUGUCAGUCUAGUAGUGAAUGUUAACAUCAUCUUAUUUUUCACUUUAUUUCUACCAUCGAAAAUAUUU